rnacentral:misc_RNA from 1 species
GAUGAAGAACGUAGCGAAAUGCGAUAAGUAAUGUGAAUUGCAGAAUUCAGUGAAUCAUCGAAUCUUUGAACGCACAUUGCGCCCGCCAGUAUUCUGGCGGGCAUGCCUGUUCGAGCGUCAUUUCAACCAUCAAGCCCCCGGCUUGUGUUGGGGACCUGCGGCUGCCGCAGGCCCUGAAAACCAGUGGCGGGCUCGCUGUCACACCGAGCGUAGUAGAUUUUCAUCUCGCUCAGGGCGUGCUGCGGGUUCCGGCCGUAAAAAGCCUUAUUUACCCAAGGUUGACCUCGGAUCAGGUAGGAAGACCCGCUGAACUUAAGCAUAUCAAAAGCGGAGGA